CCUACGGGAGGCAGCAGUGGGGAAUUUUGGACAAUGGGGGAAAGCCUGAUCCAGCAAUGCCGCGUGUGUGAAGAAGGCCUUCGGGUUGUAAAGCAAUUUUGUCCGGAAAGAAAUCAUGCCUCUAAUACACUCGCGGCGGGA
rnacentral:rRNA from 1 species